rnacentral:misc_RNA from 1 species
AGUUAAACAGUACGUGAAAUUGUUGAAAGGGAAACGAUUGAAGCCAGUCGUACCUUCGGGUAAUCAGCCUUUUGGGUGUGAUUUUGUGGAGCGUGAAGAGUUAAACGCCUUCAUGCCUGCAUAUUCGUGCACUUUGGGUGUACUUGCCCGUAUGGUUGGUUAACAUCAAUUUUGAUGGUCAUAAAAUGACUGGAGGAAUGUAGCUUCGAUCUCGUAUUGAAGUGUUAUAGCCUUCGGUAGAUGUGAUGAUCGAGAUUGAGGAUUGCAACGGAUACCCUUCGGGGCUACCUGUCUGAUCUCUGAUCGUUGCUCUGGUGCCGAAAGCUUGCUUACGGUUAUCAAAGUCGAUGGUCAAUAGGUUAGAACGGGUUAAAUUCGUUAAGGAUGUUGACGUAAUGGCUUUAAA